rnacentral:rRNA from 1 species
UACAGAGGUCCCGAGCGUUUGUUCGGAUUCACUGGGCGUAAAGGGUGCGUAGGUGGUUGGGUAAGUCUGAUGUGAAAUCUCCGGGCUCAACCCGGAAAUGGCAUUGGAUACUAUUCGGCUAGAGGUUUGGAGGGGGACUGGAAUUCUCGGUGUAGCAGUGAAAUGCGUAGAUAUCGAGAGGAACACCAGUGGCGAAGGCGAGUCCCUGGACAACACCUGACACUGAGGCACGAAAGCUAGGGGAGCAAACAGG